CGAACCGUACGAACGUUAUUCGGAAUCACUGGGCUUAAAGGGUGCGUAGGCGGCGCAGUAAGUUGGGUGUGAAAUCCCUCGGCUUAACCGAGGAAUUGCGCCCAAAACUACUGUGCUCGAGGGAGGUAGAGGUGAGCGGAACUUAGGGUGGAGCGGUGAAAUGCGUUGAUAUCCUAAGGAACACCGGUGGCGAAAGCGGCUCACUGGACCUCUUCUGACGCUGAGGCACGAAAGCUAGGGUAGCAAACGGGAUUAGAUACCCCGGUAGUCCUAGCCGUAAACGAUGAGCACUGGAUCGAAGGGUCCUCCAUAGCCUUUCGGUCGCAGCGAAAGUGUUAAGUGCUCCGCCUGGGGAGUAUGGUCGCAAGGCUG
rnacentral:rRNA from 1 species